rnacentral:lncRNA from 1 species
AUGGCGCGGAAAACCGGGAAUGGUUCAUGGAGAGCGGGAUGGGGACAGACGGGGAUGGGCGGAGGGGGUUCGUGGGCUGGGGUGGAAUCGCACACAAAAUCUGCUCCCUGCUCUGAGAGCGUUCCCAUGAUCCAGAGUGUGGCUCCCAGUCCUGUUCUUCCUACCCUUGGAUUGCCAUUCCCCAUUGGGAAGAUCCACAGAUGGGGUUUUCCUANCCCCGGCCCUGGGAGGGACCCCGGGCUGGGGAGAUGGAGCCUUUCCUCAGAGAAACCCAUGGGAAUUCAGGGGAAGGGAAAGGUUCUCCCUUGGAGAAAUCCAUGGGAAUUCAGGGGAAAAAAAAGGUUUUCCCAUUCAGGAGAAGGGAAAGGUUUUCCACUGGAGAAAUCCACGGGAAUUCAGGGAAAUGGAAAGGUUUUCCACUGGAGAAAUCCAUGGGAAUUCAGGGAAGGUUUUCUCCUGGAGAAAUCCACGGGAAUUCAGGGGAAGGGAAAGGUUCUCUAUUGGAGAAAUCCAUGGCAAUUCAGGGGAAGGGAAAGGUUCUCCACUGGAGAAAUCCAUGGGAAUUCAGCAAAGGGUUUUCCACUGGAGGAAUCCAUGGGAAUUCAGGGGAAGGUUCUCCCUUGGGCAAAUCCAUGGGAAUUCAGGGGAAAAAAAAAGGUUUUCCCAUUCAGGAGAAGGGAAAGGUUUUCCACUGGAGAAAUCUAUGGGAAUUCAGGGAAGGUUCUCCACUGGAGAAAUCCAUGGGAAUUCAGGGGAAGGGAAAGGUUCUCCCUUGGAGAAAUCCAUGGGAAUUCAGGGAAGGUUCUCCCUGGAGAAAUCCAUGNAGGGUGGGCACAGCUGGCACACCAUGACCCUGGAAUGCUUUUCCAGCCUCAGGGCUGCUGGGAUUGUGCCAGAACCACCCCCCAGGCCCGGGGUACCUCAGCAUCGUACUCCCAGAGCUGGUUGCCCCUCAGGUGGUGGCACUUGAGCAUGAGGACAGGGCCGUUGAGCCGCGACACGUCCAGGCACAGGUCGUCCGUGCGGAUCUCCUUGUCCGCCGUGUAGGAGAACACCUGGAACACAGAGGGGCUGGGAAAGG